CUUCCCAAGGGCUGGGUCUUUUUCUCCGGUGAGGUAUCCAGUGGCUAGGGUUAGGGUUUGGUGUGAAGAGGGUUAUUUACACCCGUCCCCUUUUAAUAUGGGCUGUUCAUCGUAUUUAAUCUGGGCCAUCCGAUCACGAUUAAAUAAGAAGUAGAUCUGGACUGUUGAUCUCAUUUAAUUAUGACCAUUUGAUCGCGUUUGGGUAGUGCACCAAUAUGAGCCGUCCAUGCGCACAGGAGCGGAUCUGAACCAUCCGAUCGUAGGCACGUAGAUCGCCCGUGUGGCACCGCAUUAGCGUCCUUUGCCACGCGG
rnacentral:lncRNA from 1 species